CAGUAUCUUUGCCCUGAGUGAAGCCUGUCUGCUCCAGUCUAGUCUUGUUUCCUGAAGAAUCGUCUCAAAUGUAUACAAAUCCUGGCAUUUAAUUGUGGGAAUGGAUCUGCUACUGUGCACAAAAUUCUUGGAGAUCAACAACAAUCCAAAGGCAGAAGGGAAGAUAAUUAGAAAUUGAGGAUGGGAAAGAGGAAGAGAGAAGAAAUAAUGACUUUCAGAGGACUUUCUCUCCCUUAGAACAAAAUGAAAAGGAACACCUAAAAUACUCAGCAUGUGGUACUUUUAUCUCUG
rnacentral:lncRNA from 1 species